rnacentral:rRNA from 1 species
UAGCAUAUCAAUAAGCGGAGGAAAAGAAACCAACAGGGAUUGCCCUAGUAACGGCGAGUGAAGCGGCAACAGCUCAAAUUUGAAAUCUGGCUCUUUCAGAGUCCGAGUUGUAAUUUGCAGAGGGCGCUUUGGAGUUGGCAGCGGUCCAAGUUCCUUGGAACAGGACGUCACAGAGGGUGAGAAUCCCGUACGUGGUCGCUAGCCUUCGCCGUGUAAAGCCCCUUCGACGAGUCGAGUUGUUUGGGAAUGCAGCUCUAAAUGGGAGGUAAAUUUCUUCUAAAGCUAAAUACUGGCCAGAGACCGAUAGCGCACAAGUAGAGUGAUCGAAAGAUGAAAAGCACUUUGGAAAGAGAGUCAAAUAGCACGUGAAAUUGUUGAAAGGGAAGCGCUUGCAGCCAGACUUGCCUGUAGUUGCUUAUCCGGACUCUUGUCCGGUGCACUCUUCUAUAGGCAGGCCAGCAUCAGUUUGGGCGGUUGGAUAAAGGUCUCUGUCACGUACCUCUCUUCGGGGAGGCCUUAUAGGGGAGACGACAUGCAACCAGCCUGGACUGAGGUCCGCGCAUCUGCUAGGAUGCUGGCGUAAUGGCUGUAAGCGGCCCGUCUUGAAACACGGACCAAGGAGUCUAACAUCUAUGCGAGUGUUUGGGUGUCAAGCCCAGACGCGUAAUGAAAGUGAACGGAGGUGGGAACCCUUUGGGUGCACCAUCGACCGAUCCUGAUGUCUUCGGAUGGAUUUGAGUAAGAGCAUGGCUGUUGGGACCCGAAAGAUGGUGAACUAUGCUUGAAUAGGGUGAAGCCAGAGGAAACUCUGGUGGAGGCUCGCAGCGGUUCUGACGUGCAAAUCGAUCGUCAAAUUUGGGCAUAGGGGCGAAAGACUAAUCGAACUAUCUAGUAGCUGGUUCCUGCCGAAG